GGCGCCGUGGCAGAGUGGUCUAAUGCGAUAGACUAGAACCGGCUUAAUAAGCUGAUUCCAGUUAUCUAUUCUCUUCGGAGGCUCAGGUUCGAAUCCUGACGGCGUCG